rnacentral:misc_RNA from 1 species
UCCGGUUUGGCACCGGCAGUCUUCCUAGAGUCCCCGCCAUUACGCGCUGGUAACUAGGGACGAGGGUUGCGCUCGUUGCGGGACUUAGCCCAACAUCUCACGACACGAGCUGACGACAGCCAUGCAGCACCUGUGCACGGACUCCGAAGAGGAACCGAUGUUUCCACCGGCUUUCCCGUGCAUGUCAAGCCCAGGUAAGGUUCUUCGCGUUGCUUCGAAUUAAACCACAUGCUCCGCUGCUUGUGCGGGUCCCCGUCAAUUCCUUUGAGUUUUAGCCUUGCGGCCGUACUCCCCAGGCGGGGUGCUUAAUGCGUUAGCUGCGGCACGGAAGUCUUGCGACCCCCACACCUAGUACCCACCGUUUACGGCUAGGACUAC